rnacentral:rRNA from 1 species
GAAGAAAGAGGGAGGCGGGAGGAACACAGGCAAGUCGAACGGAAAGGCCCUGCUUUUGUGGGGUGCUCGAGUGGCGAACGGGUGAGUAACACGUGAGUAACCUGCCCUUGACUUUGGGAUAACUUCAGGAAGCUGGGGCUAAUACCGGAUAGGAGCUCCUGCUGCAUGGUGGGGGUUGGAAAGUUUCGGCGGUUGGGGAUGGACUCGCGGCUUAUCAGCUUGUUGGUGGGGUAGUGGCUUACCAAGGCUUUGACGGGUAGCCGGCCUGAGAGGGUGACCGGCCACAUUGGGACUGAGAUACGGCCCAGACUCCUACGGGAGGCAGCAGUGGGGAAUAUUGCACAAUGGGCGGAAGCCUGAUGCAGCAACGCCGCGUGCGGGAUGACGGCCUUCGGGUUGUAAACCGCUUUCGCCUGUGACGAAGCGUGAGUGACGGUAAUGGGUAAAGAAGCACCGGCUCCCUACGUU